rnacentral:lncRNA from 10 species
AACCUGGGAGGCGGAGGUUGCAGUGAGCCGAGAUUGUGCCAUCAUUGCACUCCAGCCUGGGCAAUGGAGCAAGACUGUUUCAAAAAAAAAAAAAAGAAAGAAAAAAAAGAAAAAAGAAAUAGUUUCUCUUGAUAAAUAAACAAUUAACAACAACAAUAACAAAAUGUAGGUGGGAUUUACAGAACCCAGGGAUGCUGCAUCACUCCAGCGAUAGUAACAAAGGGAGUUUAUCACAGCUAGAUAGUAACAGAGGGGUCCUUAGCACCCCCACAUAGUAACAGUGGCCUGGAGGAGCAAAGGAAGAAGUGGUCUCCAGGUCCAGAGAGAGGGAGCUCUACAGAGAGGCUACCUGACAGAAGCUGUGUCAUCCUUCAGUCAAGGGACACAGUAGACCAUGGUGACCCAACAGGAGAGCUGGGGGAAUAAACAGCUCCUCUGGAAUUGAGAUGUUCAGUUAGCCAAGUGCAUUUGUUAGCUGCCCAACCACUCUAAGCUCACGAGGAGCAAGAGAAAGCAUGCCUUCUUAGUAGCUACUAAACAAAUCCUGAGAUGAACUCUGAUUGAACCAAUCUGUGCCACAUACCCAUCUCUAAGCCAAUCAUCGUAGUUUUUUUGUUUGUUUGUUUGUUUGAGACGGAGUCUCGCUCUGUCACCCAGGCUGCAGUGCAGUGACACAAUCUCGGCUCACUG